UUUUCUCUUCUUUAAUAUAGCUCUUCCACUUGCAACGAGUCUGUCCAUGAAUUGUUUUAAACGCCAGCCACGUUCAACAUAGUGUCAGUAUAGUCAUUCUUCUUCGAAAUAUUGUAUUGUUUAGUAAUAUGUAAAUAUUAUAUUAUUUUAAAUGACUACUUGGCAAUAAUAUCGAGUGUAUAAGUUUGGAUAUUUUUUAAACAUCUGUGUACUUAUCAUGGAGGCUCAAUUAAGUGCAAGAAUCAGCCGACUUUUACGGUCGAGCACUUCUAUGUGCAAGAGAUGCAAGCAAGAUAUACUUUCACGAAUGUUAUGCACUAAAACGUGUACUAAUGUGGACGUAGAAUAUAAUGUAAAACCUUAUAAUAAAAUACCAGGACCAAAAUCAGUUCCAAUAUUAGGUAAUACUUGGAGAAUGCUGCCACUGAUUGGGCAAUAUGAAAUUUCGAAUACAGCAAAAAUAAGCAAACUAUUUUAUGAAGAAUACGGAAAGAUUGUUCGUUUGAGCGAUUUGGUAGGUCGACCAGAUUUACUUUUUGUUUAUGAUGCUGAUGAAAUCGAAAAGAUUUAUCGUCAAGAAGAACCGACACCUUUUAGACCUUCAAUGCCUUGUUUGGUUCAUUACAAAAGUGUUAUUCGUAAGGAUUUCUUUGAAGAUAUUGGCGGUGUUGUUGGAGUGCAUGGUGAAUCAUGGAAAAAAUUUCGCACGCGCGUUCAGAAACCGGUUCUACAGCCACAAAUCGUAAGAAAGUACAUAACACCGAUUGAAAUUGUCACAAGUGAUUUCAUAAAGAGGAUAGAAGACAUUCAACAAAAAAAUGGAGAAUUACCGGGAGACUUUGAUAACGAAAUACACAAAUGGGCAUUGGAGUGUAUUGGACUCGUCGCCUUGGACGUACGAUUAGGAUGUUUAGGUGGAUCCCUUAUACCAGAUUCUGAACCACAAAAGAUAAUCGAUGCCGCUAAAUUUGCUUUGAGAAACGUAGCUGUCCUUGAGCUGAAAGCUCCUUUCUGGAGAUAUAUACCAACUCCUCUUUGGACUCGAUACGUUCGUAACAUGAAUUACUUUAUUGAAAUAUGUAUGAAAUACAUUGAUGCUGCGACUGAAAGACUUAAAAAUAAAAAGUCUACAAACGAAGAAGAUCUUUCUUUGGUAGAGAGAAUUUUAGCCACCGAAACUAAUCCUAAAGUAGCUUAUAUUCUUGCUUUGGAUUUAAUUUUAGUUGGAAUUGAUACGAUAUCAAUGGCAGUAUGUUCAAUACUGUAUCAACUCGCGACAAGACAGGAAGAACAAGAGAAAGUUUACCAAGAAUUACUUAAAAUUCUACCUGAUCCAAAUACUCCUCUCACUACAUCACAUCUCGAUCAAGCAGUCUACACAAAGGCUUUCAUUCGAGAAGUUUUCAGGAUGUAUUCUACUGUUAUCGGCAACGGUAGAACAUUACAAAAUGAUACCACAAUAUGCGGUUACAAAGUACCGAAAGGAGUUCAAGUUGUAUUUCCUACAGUCGUAACUGGAAAUAUGAAAGAAUAUGUAAAUGAUGCAGAUACAUUUAAACCAUCGAGAUGGCUUAAAGCUACUCUCGAUCAAAAGCUUCAUCCGUUUGCAUCACUACCGUACGGAUACGGUGCACGCAUGUGCCUUGGUAGAAGAUUCGCUGAUCUUGAAAUGCAAGUUCUCCUUGCAAAACUUUUAUAUAAAAAAUGAGACGAACUGUUACAUGGACCCUAUAUACAUACACACACACACAUAUAUAUAUAUAUAUAAUGUGUAUAUAUAUAUACAUACAUAUAUAUGUAUAUAUAUGUGUACAUGAUACGAAAUGUCCGUCCAUAAAUGUCCGAGCAAUUAUCUUGUGGCUGGAUGAAAUUAUAAGAAAGGUUGAUGAAAGAAAUUUGCACUGCUCCUUAUACGAUCAUACAAGUUGGAAUAUCAUCAUCAACCAUUGAAAUAUAAAGUUACAUUCAUGUAUGCACCAGAUGGAGAACUCAGAUUUAAAUGCAUUAAAAGAUAAUAUAAUAUGUUUAAAAUUUAUGCAAC